UCCAGUAGAUGGCAGCAAAUCUGCAGGACGAUGUGGAAAUAUUUUGAACAGUAGAGGUAGAAAAUCUUCUUUGCUGGUGGUUUUGUUUUGAGUCUUUGGAGGACCAAACAACACGACUUAAAUAAUGUGUUAAAAGCCCAUAGGAAUGAUAGUUAAACAUUUGUCUCACAUUCGUAAAAUAGAAACACCAUCAGCUGACAUCGAAAGUACACCGUUCCUUCUGCGUUAAAUGCUCCUGAAGUCAUCAUUUUGAUGCCAUGGUAAAGGAUUGCAUUGGUCCAAAGAGCAUCUGAGCUACAGUCAUUAUCAUGGAACAGAAAAGGCUUUCAGAAUAAGUCACUUGCCCACACACAUGAGUGCUGUGUUCCCCUUGUGCUGGGCCAAGCGCCAUGCCUGACCGGGACAGCACCUACCUGUCAGGUGGUGGUGGGAGCAGCAGCGGGGUGGGUACUAGUGUGAGCGAGGAAGUGGGGUCUGGUUUAGGAGGGGGCACGGGAGAAGGCCGGGGGGGAUCCGCAGGAGGUGAAGACAGUGGCUCUGGUUCUGGGGGAAUGGGUGGAGGAGGGGCCCUGGGGAAUGGGAACAACUGCGGGGGAGGUGGAGCCGGGGGCCCGGGGUCAGAACCGGCUCCGGACGGGGUCUGCAGAGACUUCUUGAGGAACGUGUGUAAGAGGGGCAAACGCUGCCGCUUCAAACACCCCGACUUCAACGAGGUGCCAGACCUCGGGGUGCAGAAGAACGAGUUUGUAUUCUGCCACGACUACCAGAACAAGGAGUGUGUCCGCUCCAACUGCCGCUUCGUCCACGGCUCCAAGGAGGAUGAGGACUACUAUAAGAAGUCAGGGGAGCUGCCCCUCAGGUUGAGGGGGAAAGUAGCUGCAGGACUGGGCCUGUCCCCCAUGGACCUCCCCCACAGCCGAGGGGAGGUCCCCAUCUGCAGGGACUUUCUGAAGGGUGAGUGCCAGCGGGGCAACAAGUGUAAGUUCCGCCACGUCAAGAAGGACAACGAGUACGAGCCGGCAAGAGUGGGUGUGGGGAGCGUGUUAGGCCCAGGGGCCAGUGGGAUGGUGAACACAGGCGGGGGGGUCGGAGGGGUUGGGAUGGGUGCCUGUGGAGGCAUGGCUGGACUGGUGGGGGGUGGAGGUGGGGGCAACAUGAUGGGGAUGGGCUGCCCCAGCCUUGGGGGUUGCAGAGACUCGGGUAUCUUAGGGGUGGGAGGAGUAGGGUUAAGUGGGAUUGGGGGUUGCAUCUCCAUGGGGGCCUCAGGACCUCGUCGUUUUGACAGGGGCCCCUGCUCGGCGUACGACCCCCUGUUUGAGAGCGGUCUGUAUGAGACAUCGCCCCUGGAAGCCCCUGUGGACCACACAAUGCUGCAGCUGAAGAGACGCAGGCUGGAGGGUCUCCGGCUGGAUGGGAACGGAGGGGGGCACUAUGAGCUGGGGGUGCAGGCGGCCCUCUCACCCCGGCCCCUGGAGUACAGGUUUCUGGAGGAGGAAAACACCCUGCUGAGGAGGAGAGUGGAUGAAUUGAAGAAACAGGUGUCAAACCUCAUGGCCACCAACGAGGUGCUGCUGGAGCAGAAUGCCCAGUUCCGGAGCCAGACCAAGGUGUCGGUGAUGACCCUGUCCUCCACCCCAGCCCCCUCUGAGCAGACCAUGGCGUCCCCCGUGGGCUCGGUCAGUUCCUACAACCACAGCAUCGCCCAGACCCAUACCACCCUGAGCAGCGCCGGGCUGCAGCCUCGUACCGUCACCCUCACACAGCAGGACCUAGUGGCCCCCACCUGUGCCCCUACAGUGCCCCCAUCUAAUGCUGCCCCAUCCAGCGCUCCCCUGCCCCACCUCAACCCCGAGAUCACCCCGCUCUCAGCCGCCCUGGUUCAGACCAUCGCCCAGGGCAUGGGGCCUCCCGUCUCCAUGGCACCCGUCACUGUUUCAGUGGCGCCGGUGGCUGUAUCAAUGGCACAGCCUCUGCCUGGCAUCACUAUAAGCCAUGCCACCAGCCCCAUGGUGUCAUACCCUAUCGCCAGCCAGAGUAUGAGGAUCACCACCAUACCUCACUGAUGCAGCACACUCUCUAGGACCCUCCCAUGGAACUAAAGAUGGAAUUCUACAUACCAUCCCUCUGCUGAAUGACUUGAGGGGAGACAUUGAGGCAAGUACCUUGACUGGAAGCCAGUGGAGUGUACGAGGAGCGGGGUGACAUGGUAGAACUUGGGAAGGUUGAACACCAUGCGGGCUGCUGCAUUCUGGCAAGUUGCAGGGUUUUGAUGGAACAAGCAGGAAGCCCAGAUGGGAGAAUUCAAGUGCCGCUUCCUGUGUGAGGUAGGGUCAUCCUCUGUUGCCACCUGGGUGUCUUUGCUAUGUCAUCCGCAUAGCAAUGAUAGGAGAGACCGUGUGAGGAUAUGACGGAGCCAAAUAACUUGGUGUAUAAAGAGACUAGGGGACCUAGAACCAAAUCCUAGGGGACACUAGUAGUGAGUACGUGGUGCAGACACAGAUCCUCUCCACGUCACCUGGUACGAGAGACCUGCCAUGUAAAAUGCAGUCCAAGUGUGGAGAGGAGGAUCUGAUGGUUCACGGUGUCAAAGGCAGCGUAUAGAUCUAGGAGGAUAAAAGGAGAUUGCUCUCCUGUGGCACAGAGGUUGACUGUCUCGGUUGAGUGACCGGUCUUGAAGCCUGACUGGUUGGGGUCAAGAAGAUAGUUCUGAGAGCGAUAGCAAGAGGGUUGGUCAGAGAACACACGCGUCUUGGAAAUAAAAGGAUACCGGUCUGUAGUGUGAUGUCAGAGGGGUCGUGUUGGUUUCUUGAGGAGGGGAGCGACUCAGGCCAUUUUGAAGUCAGAGCGGACGAAGCCUGUGGUCAGGGAUAAGUUGAGGGAGGUAAGGAAUGGGGGAAAGUCUCCAGAGAUGGUCUGGAGGGAAUGGGGUCAAGCGGGCAGGUUUUCGGCGGCCGGACCUCAAGUCACAAGAUUUCAUCUAGAGAGAGAGGAGAAAGAUGUCUAGGAGUAGUUCUGUGUGAAUGGGACAGAGAGGGAGGGGGUGGAGGGUAGAGGAGCAAAAUAGUUUCCUAGGGUUAGAGGCAGAAGUUGGAAAUUUAGAGUGAUAGUGGCUUUAGCAGCAGAUAGAGGGGGGAGUGAAAGGGAGAUUUAGUUACCUCCAUUUUCACUCCGCAGUCUGCAGCCCUGUUCUGGAAGUUCACAAUGAGUCACUCAGCAGUGGGGGAGGGCCCGGACGGACGGGAGGAAAAGGGACAGUGUGAGUCAUAGGAUGCAGAAAAGGAGGAGAGUAAUGUUGAAGAGGCAAAAUCAGGAGGGAGAAAGAUUUAGCAGAAGGGAGAGAAUUGCGACGGAACAUGGCCGUCUGGGUAGGGGUUGAGUGGAAAGGUUGGAGGAGAAGGAGACCGAUACUGAAACAAUGUGGGGAUCAGAGACCUGGAAGGGGGUUUCAGUGAAAUUAGUAGGCGAACAGCCUCUAGUAAAAAUGAGGUCAAGCAUAUUACCAGCCUUGUGAGUGGGACGGGGCCUUUAAAGGGUGAGGGCAAGGAGGGAAAAUAAAUAAAUGAAUCGAUGGCAGAUGUCGGAAGGUUGAAGUCGCCCAUUACAAAGAGAUACCUUGUAACUGGAUAUUCCUUCAAAACGAUUGCCUGCAGUUAACGUGUAGGGCACUGCAAGGUGGGUGACCAGGGCCAUCUGGGACUGCCUACUGGAGGAAUUCAGGUGUGUGAAGGCUACCUGUGACCUGCAUAACUUCUUGAUGAUAGACACGAGGACCAGGAAGGGAUCUGCAGAUCGCCGCCUUGUGCCAGAGGAGAAGUCUGCUGCUCUGCAGGAUGUUUCAAGGAUGGGGGCCAACAACGCAGCAAGAGAGGCAAUCCGUGUGCGGGAGAUCUUCACCUCCUACUUCUUGGAAGAGGGUGCUGAUGCACAACCAAAGGUUGAUGCACAACCAAAGGCUCUUUUAAGAGCCAUUCACAUUGCAGUAAGAGUAUUCUUCCAUUUACUUAGCUAUGUCAACUGCAGGUAUUCAAUUCCCAGUUUCUCUCCCUUUGAUUUCUACUUCUCAGGUGAGGGUUAUGUUUAGGUAAGGGUGGGAUGUCUGUACAAAAACAAAACAGGCUAUUUUAAUUCACACAAUUAGACACCCUAUAACCUACACACUCAUGUAUCAAUCUGAUUGAUGGAUUGUGUUCUGCGGUAAGCAGGCUCAGGUGUACAACUGUGGCUCCUUCCACCUUCAAAGAAUAGGCAAGAGGGCCAACCAUGGAGAAUAGUAAGACACUUCAUUAUUGCUAUAUUGUUUGUCCUUGUGUGUCCGCUCAUGUUUUUCAGCAUAAAGUACUCUGCAGCCACUUAGUGUGGUGUGGACACCAGGUGAGGCCACAUGUAACAGUAUAGCUUCCGUCCCUCUCCUCGCCCCUACCUGGGCUCGAACCAGGGACCCUCUGCACACAUCGACAACAGUCACCCUCGAUGCAUCGUUACCUAUCGCUCCACUUUCACACCGGUUACACAGAUUCCUGUUGAACACUGUCUCUUUAACUACCUUAUUUUCUCAAUGACAGUCUCUCUCCUUCACUUCAUCCCUCUCUCCUCUUUUCCCUAAAUCCUUUAGAUUAUAUCAGCUGUGUCGGUGAACCCCUCCCGCAUCUGAACUGGCUACAUAGAGGGUACAGCAUGAUCAGAGAUAUGUUUUGAUGUGAGAGAGGAUGCCAACCCCCAGUCCCAUCAUCACCACCUCACCCGCUUUUAAGAUAACCUCCGGGCCGACUAGAGACACUAUGUAAUUGUGAUGAACUGGGAGAAUAUUUGGGUUCCACUGUGAUUCAUUAAUCAUAUGCUGCCUUCCCUGCUCCUAUGCUCUUACCUCUUUCCCUUUCUGUCUUCUACACCUCUCUCGCCACCUCCUUUCUAACCUCUGUUUUUAUAAUGCACAACAGAUAUGCAUUGAAGUACAGAUUGAACUUUUAUUUAUAAUAUUAAAAUUAUAAUAUUUAUAAUGCUUGUAUUUAUAACACUUGGAUAAUGAACUUCUUUCAAUAAAGCGUUUCACAUUC